rnacentral:rRNA from 1 species
GACGAACGCUGGCGGCGUGCUUAACACAUGCAAGUCGAGCGGUAAGGCCCUUUCGGGGGUACACGAGCGGCGAACGGGUGAGUAACACGUGGGUGACCUGCCCUCAGCUCUGGGAUAAGCCUGGGAAACCGGGUCUAAUACCGGAUAUGACUCCAUGACGCAUGUUGUGGGGUGGAAAGCCUUGUGCGGCUGAGGAUGGGCCCGCGGCCUAUCAGCUUGUUGGUGGGGGAUGGCCUACCAAGGCGACGACGGGUAGCCGGCCUGAGAGGGCGACCGGCCACACUGGGACUGAGACACGGCCCAGACUCCUACGGGAGGCAGCAGUGGGGAAUCUUGCGCAAUGGGCGAAAGCCUGACGCAGCGACGCCGCGUGAGGGAUGACGGCCUCGGUGUAACGUAC